AUUGAACGCUGGCGGCAGGCUUAACACAUGCAAGUCGAACGAGUGGCGGACGGGUGAGUAAUGCUUGGGAAUCUGGCUUAUGGAGGGGGAUAACUACUGGAAACUGUAGCUAAUACCGCGUACACUCAGAUGAGCCCAGGUGGGAUUAGGGAUUUGGUGAGGUAAAGGCUCACCAAGCCGACGAUCCCUAGCUGGUCUGAGAGGAUGACCAGCCACACUGGGACGGAGACACGGCCCAGACUCCUACGGGAGGCAGCAGUGGGGAAUAUUGCGCAAUGGGGGCAACCCUGACGCAGCCAUGCCGCGUGUAUGAAGAAGGCCUUCGGGUUGUAAAGUACUUUCAGCCGGGAGGCGUUACCGACAGAAGAAGCACCGGCUAACUCCGUGCCAGCAGCCGCGGUAAUAC
rnacentral:rRNA from 1 species